UCCUACGCGAAGGCAGCAGUGGGGAAUCUUGGACAAUGGGGGCAACCNUGAUCCAGCCAUGCCGCGUGAGUGAUGAAGGCCCUAGGGUCGUAAAGCUCUUUCGCCUGUGAAGAUAAUGACUGUAGCAGGUAAAGAAACCCCGGCUAACUCCGUGCCAGCAGCCGCGGUAAUACGGAGGGGGUUAGCGUUGUUCGGAAUUACUGGGCGUAAAGCGCGCGUAGGCGGACUGGAAAGUUGGGGGUGAAAUCCCAGGGCUCAACCCUGGAACUGCCUCCAAAACUAUCAGUCUAGAGUUCGAGAGAGGUGAGUGGAAUUCCGAGUGUAGAGGUGAAAUUCGUAGAUAUUCGGAGGAACACCAGUGGCGAAGGCGGCUCACUGGCUCGAUACUGACGCUGAGGUGCNAAAGUGUGGGGAGCAAACAGGAUUAUAUACCCU
rnacentral:rRNA from 1 species